rnacentral:rRNA from 1 species
UACGUAGGGGGCGAGCGUUGUCCGGAAUCAUUGGGCGUAAAGUGCGUGUAGGCGGUCCGGUAAGUCCGCUGUGAAAGUCGGGGGCUCAACCCUCGGAUGCCGGUGGAUACUGUCGGGCUUGAGUACGGAAGAGGCGAGUGGAAUUCCUGGUGUAGCGGUGAAAUGCGCAGAUAUCAGGAGGAACACCAAUUGCGAAGGCAGCUCGCUGGGACGUUACUGACGCUGAGACGCGAAAGCGUGGGGAGCAAACAGG